rnacentral:rRNA from 2 species
GUGGGUAGUUUGACUGGGGCGGUCUCCUCCUAAAGAGUAACGGAGGAGCACGAAGGUUGGCUAAUCCUGGUCGGACAUCAGGAGGUUAGUGCAAUGGCAUAAGCCAGCUUGACUGCGAGCGUGACGGCGCGAGCAGGUGCGAAAGCAGGUCAUAGUGAUCCGGUGGUUCUGAAUGGAAGGGCCAUCGCUCAACGGAUAAAAGGUACUCCGGGGAUAACAGGCUGAUACCGCCCAAGAGUUCAUAUCGACGGCGGUGUUUGGCACCUCGAUGUCGGCUCAUCACAUCCUGGGGCUGAAGUAGGUCCCAAGGGUAUGGCUGUUCGCCAUUUAAAGUGGUACGCGAGCUGGGUUUAGAACGUCGUGAGACAGUUCGGUCCCUAUCUGCCGUGGGCGCUGGAGAACUGAGGGGGGCUGCUCCUAGUACGAGAGGACCGGAGUGGACGCAUCACUGGUGUUCGGGUUGUCAU